rnacentral:tRNA from 1 species
CGGGAUAUAGCUCAGACUUGGUCGAGAGCGACUUAAUAUUAAUUUAUUAAGGAGGUCGGGGGUUCGAAUCCCCCUUUCCCGC